GAGUUUGAUCUUGGCUCAGAGCGAACGUUAGCGGCGCGCCUAACACAUGCAAGUCGCACGGAGUAGCAAUACUCAGUGGCGCACGGGUGCGUAACACGUAGAUAAUCUGCCCUUCGAAGGGGGAUAACGUUCCGAAAGGAGCGCUAAUACCGCAUAAAGCCAGCCGGGGUUCGCCCUGGCUGGACAAAGGCUGGGAUCGCAAGACCAGUCGUCGAAGGAGGAGUCUGCGGCCCAUCAGCUAGUUGGUAAGGUAAUGGCUUACCAAGGCAAAGAACGGGUAGCUGGUCUGAGAGGAUGAUCAGCCACACUGGUACUGGAACACGGACCAGACUCCUACGGGAGGCAGCAGUAGGGAAUAUUGGACAAUGGGCGAAAG
rnacentral:rRNA from 1 species